rnacentral:lncRNA from 1 species
UGGAGGGUGCUGGUGGACUCUAGGCUGAGCUGUGGAGGGUGCUGGCAGACUCUGGGCUGAGCCGUGGAGGGUGCUGGUGGACUCUGGGCUGAGCUGUGGAGGGUGCUGGCAGACUCUGGGCUGAGCUGUGGAGGGUGCUGGCAGACUCUGGGCUGAGCUGUGGAGGGUGCUGGUGGACUCUGGGCUGAGCCGUGGAGGGUGCUGGCGGACUCUAGGCUGAGCUGUGGAGGGUGCUGGCAGACUCUGGGCUGAGCUGUGGAGGGUGCUGGUGGACUCUGGGCUGAGCCGUGGAGGGUGCUGGCGGACUCUAGGCUGAGCUGUGGAGGGUGCUGGCAGACUCUGGGCUGAGCUGUGGAGGGUGCUGGCGGACUCUGGGCUGAGCUGUGGAGGGUGCUGGUGGACUCUGGUGUGGGAACGGGGAUGGAUUCCUCCCAGUCUGAUCCACUCAUUAGUAGAAAUGGCCUUCAGCCUCUCACGAUCCCUUCUGUGGAUGGAGCCCCUAGAUCCUGGUGCCCUGUCCCCUUGUCCCCUCUUGUACCAUGCAGAGCACCACCAUCAUCUCAGCCUUGCAGCUCAGGUCCACACCCUGCUGUUGGGAACUGGAGGCAUCUGACCUGUGUGGUCUGUACUGGAUAUCACUGAGUGCCCUGUUCAACCCCAUACCCAGGCUGUCUCUCAGGUUGACAGCGCUUCACCCCAGCCCUUGCCCUAUGCAGAAAGUACUGCUUCGAGAGAUGUACCUGUGGUUCCCACGUACUACAUGCUACAGCCAGUGACCUGAGGGCAGGGUUCACCUCACACUCCUCCUGACCCUCUCCCCAUCUCCAUCUGACCCAGCCUCUUGACACAGAGAUCCAGCACACCUAGGAGAGACUCAUGAACCCUCCUGACCCAGUAGUAGCCUGUCACCUUCUUCUGAAGAUCCUGGGGGCACAGAAC